CAGCCGCCACGGUAAUAUGUAGGUGGCAAGCGUUGUCCGGAAUUAUUGGGCGUAAAGGGCUCGCAGGCGGUUUCUUAAGUCUGAUGUGAAAGCCCCCGGCUUAACCGGGGAGGGUCAUUGGAAACUGGGAAACUUGAGUGCAGAAGAGGAGAGUGGAAUUCCACGUGUAGCGGUGAAAUGCGUAGAGAUGUGGAGGAACACCAGUGGCGAAGGCGACUCUCUGGUCUGUAACUGACGCUGAGGAGCGAAAGCGUGGGGGGCGAACAGGAUUAGAUACCCCAGUAGUCCCUGUCUCUUAUAC
rnacentral:rRNA from 1 species